GCUGGGCGUGGUGGCUUACGCCUGUAAUCCCAGCAAUUCAGGAGGCUGAGGCGGGUGGAUUGCUUGAGCUCAGGAGUUCGAGACCAGCCUGGGCAACAUAGCAAGUCCCCAUCUCAU
rnacentral:sRNA from 1 species